rnacentral:rRNA from 1 species
AACGCUGGCGGCAGGCUUAACACAUGCAAGUCGAGCGGAGAGAGGUAGCUUGCUACUGAUCUUAGCGGCGGACGGGUGAGUAAUGCUUAGGAAUCUGCCUAUUAGUGGGGGACAACAUUUCGAAAGGAAUGCUAAUACCGCAUACGUCCUACGGGAGAAAGCAGGGGAUCUUCGGACCUUGCGCUAAUAGAUGAGCCUAAGUCGGAUUAGCUAGUUGGUGGGGUAAAGGCCUACCAAGGCGACGAUCUGUAGCGGGUCUGAGAGGAUGAUCCGCCACACUGGGACUGAGACACGGCCCAGACUCCUACGGGAGGCAGCAGUGGGGAAUAUUGGACAAUGGGCGCAAGCCUGAUCCAGCCAUGCCGCGUGUGUGAAGAAGGCCUUAUGGUUGUAAAGCACUUUAAGCGAGGAGGAGGCUACUUUAGAUAAUACCUAGAGAUAGUGGACGUUACUCGCAGAAUAAGCACCGGCUAACUCUGUGCCAGCAGCCGCGGUAAUACAGAGGGUGCAAGCGUUAAUCGGAUUUACUGGGCGUAAAGCGCGCGUAGGCGGCUAAUUAAGUCAAAUGUGAAAUCCCCGAGCUUAACUUGGGAAUUGCAUUCGAUACUGGUUAGCUAGAGUGUGGGAGAGGAUGGUAGAAUUCCAGGUGUAGCGGUGAAAUGCGUAGAGAUCUGGAGGAAUACCGAUGGCGAAGGCAGCCAUCUGGCCUAACACUGACGCUGAGGUGCGAAAGCAUGGGGAGCAAACAGGAUUAGAUACCCUGGUAGUCCAUGCCGUAAACGAUGUCUACUAGCCGUUGGGGCCUUUGAGGCUUUAGUGGCGCAGCUAACGCGAUAAGUAGACCGC